rnacentral:rRNA from 1 species
UGAGAGGUUGAACGGCCACACUGGAACUGAGACACGGUCCAGACUCCUACGGGAGGCAGCAGUGGGGAAUUUUGCACAAUGGGGGAACCCCUGAUGCAGCAGACGCCGCGUGGAGGAAGAAGUUUUUCGGAUUGUAAACUUCUGUCGUCAGGAAGAUAAUGACAGUAGCUAAGAAGCAAGCCCUGGCUAAAUACGUGCCAGCA